rnacentral:rRNA from 1 species
GAUGAACGCUGGCGGCGUGCCUAAUACAUGCAAGUCGAGCGAACAGACGAGGAGCUUGCUCCUCUGACGUUAGCGGCGGACGGGUGAGUAACACGUGGAUAACCUACCUAUAAGACUGGGAUAACUUCGGGAAACCGGAGCUAAUACCGGAUAAUAUAUUGAACCGCAUGGUUCAAUAGUGAAAGACGGUUUUGCUGUCACUUAUAGAUGGAUCCGCGCCGCAUUAGCUAGUUGGUAAGGUAACGGCUUACCAAGGCAACGAUGCGUAGCCGACCUGAGAGGGGAUCCGGCCCACUGGAACUGAGACACGGUCCCAACCCCUACGGGGGGGCACAGGGGGGAAUCUUGCCCAAUGGGGGGAAACCUGAACCAGGCAACCCGGGUGGGUGAAGAAGGGCUUCGGGUUUGAAAACCCUUUUUUUUGGGAAAAAAAAAAGGGGGAUAAAACCCUGCUGUUCUGACGGUACCCAAAGAAAAAGCCCCGGCUAACUUCGUG